rnacentral:rRNA from 1 species
UACGGAGGAGGCAAGCGUUAUCCGGAAUUAUUGGGCGUAAAGCGUCCGCAGGUGGCACCUCAAGUCUGCUGUCAAAGACCGGGGCUUAACCCCAGAAAGGCAGUGGAAACUGAAGUGCUAGAGUGCAGUAGGGGUAGAGGGAAUUCCCGGUGUAGCGGUGAAAUGCGCAGAUAUCAGGAAGAACACCCGUGGCGAAGGCGGCUCUCUGGGACGGUACUGACGCUGAGACGCGAAAGCGUGGGGAGCGAACAGG